UCUUCUUCUUCUUCUUCUUCUUCUUCCUUGGCUCUGAAGAAGAAUCAUUUUCAAUUCCCUCCUCAAUCUCUCUACUCUUCCGUUUCUUCUUGUUCUCCCCUUGCCCUUCUGCUUCAUGUCUCAUUUCACCCUCAAUUUUCACCCCAUUUCCCUCAAUUUUCAUCCCAUUUGCCAGAACAUUUUCAAUUUUUCGGCCACUUUUCUCCUUCUUAGGCUUCUUUUUCUCACUUGGUUCAUCAAUUACCAUUUUUUCCUCGUCUUCCUCAAAGUUACCAAUCUCAUUCUUCUCCUUCUUCCUCUUGCUCUCUCCAUCCUCAAUAAGACUUUUGCCUUCACCAUCCCCGACAUUACCAACCUCACCCUUCUCUGUCUUCUUCUUGUUCUCAUGCUUCUUUCCAUCACUAUCCCCAUACCCAUGACUCACCUCUUGACUCAGCUCCACAGCACCACGAGUCAAGUUGAAUACACUCGGUUCUAGACUCGACUCGCUGGCACCUUCCACUGCGGUCUCAGACUUGGGUUACACAACAAGAGGGAGUCAUAUCCACCUCCCAUCAGACCUUGUAGUGGGAAGCCCCAAGCUUUAACCAUUGAAAUGUCUCUUUGUUAACUGGUUGAAUGCUCUUAUUGUAAUCAUAUUUGGUAUUGUCUUAUUGCCUUUCCUUAUCCUUUAGAUGAAUUAAAGCCUGGAGAGAUACUUUAAAGGUCAAAUAUUAAAGAGGCUAAGUAGGAGCUAAUUCUUAUCUAUCUUUCUUAUUUUCUUCUGCUGUUUUCUGGUUUCCUCUGUGUACAGUGUAUGAUAGAGCUGCUUUCUUCCUCUUGUUUGACAUAUUUGAAAUGAGUCAUAUUGGCUUGUAGGGCCACCUUUACAUGAUCCCGAGUUUGGAGCUUGAGAUCACUGCAAGACGACAAUUUUGGAGGGCUCUUAAUGGGGCAAACUUGGGUUUUACUAAUUGCUUUAGGAUUAGGACUGGAUGUAGUAUCUAGCCUAUUUAAGUUUUCCCCUUUCCUGUUAUGGGUUUGUAGUAGGUUAGAGGGCCCACACUCAGUUGAACUCUUCUGUGAUGAACUAAGCGCAGGCUGAAACCCAGUAGAAUAGUUUCCAGCGAGCAUUCUAAGCAUUGUACAUAUUCUAUCUGUUUGGAUUGUUUUAGAUGCCAAUAGUUAUUGUAAGACAUUAAUUGUUGUUUUCGAAGUUUGUUAACUACGUAAUUUUAAUUUGAAUUUUUUUAACAUUCUGGAAACGCUCUUUGGCUUGACUUAUGUGGACAACAGAACAAUAAUUUUCAGGUUAGGCUCUUGAUAUUUUCAAUUUCUUAUAUCCUCCAAAAUGAAUCCAGGAAAUGGCAACAAGGAUGGACUUUAUUCUGUUCUUCUCAGGGACUACAAUGCACAUGCUGCUGCUGCCUGCAUGAAUCGGCUAGCUAAACUGAGGGAAUCAUGGCUUUUCAAUUGGAAUUGAUGAUGUCCAACCGGGGAAAAGGUUGAAUGAUGAGAAAGCAGUAACAAUUUCAGGAGGUCAUAAGAAAUGUGAUGAAGAGAUACAGAUGGUCAAUGAAGGAAAACUAGAGCCGAAACCUGGUUGUGAUGCUGCUCAAACACUAGAAGCUAAUGUAAGUGCAAUAUUGAAUAAAAUUCGGGACAAAACGGGGAAGGUAUGCAUGAAAGAACUACAUUGGAGAAACAGUCCAUUGAUCAUGUCGCAAUGUGGUUCCAAGGGUUCUGCUAUAAAUAUAAGUCAAAUGAUUGCAUGUGUUGGUCAGCAAUCAGUUGGUGGUUGUCGUGCUCCUAAUGGAUUCAUAGAUAGUAGCCUUCCUCAUUUCCAUAGAGGAUCGAAAACCCCUGCUCACGGCGCUCCAAGCAGUUAUGGGCAUUGAAGGAAUUGAUGGACGGAGGACAUGGAGUAACCAUGUAAUGGAAAUGGAGCAGAUAUUGGGAAUUGAAGCUGCAAGAAAAUGCAUAAUCGAUGAGAUAGCACAAACUGUGGAACAUCAUGGCAGUUAUGGGCAUUGAAGGAAUUGAUGGACGGAGGACAUGGAGUAACCAUGUAAUGGAAAUGGAGCAGAUAUUGGGAAUUGAAGCUGCAAGAAAAUGCAUAAUCGAUGAGAUAGCACAAACUGUGGAACAUCAUGGAAUGACCAUAGACAGACGCCAUAUGAUGCUUCUAGGAGAUGUGAUGACAUUUAGGGGGGAAGUUCUUGGCAUCACAAGAUUUGGAAUCCAAAAAAUGGACAAGAGCAUAUUGAUGCUGGCUUCAUUUGAGAGGACAGCUGAUCACCUUUUCAAUGCUGCUGUUAACGGGAGGCAUGACAAGAAUGAGGGAGUUACUUAGUGCAUCAUCAUGGGCAUCCCAAUGCAGAUAAGCACUGGAAUACUCAAAGUUAUACAGAGAGUUGAUCCACCUCCUAUGCUACGAUAUGGACCAGAUCCAGAUUUAUCUUGAGUUCAUCAUCAUUUUGGAAAUUAUCAAGCGGAAAUUUGUGCAGUCAACAGUAUGCUCUAUGUUGAUUAUGCAUCAGCAUCAUCCAUUCAGAGUUGCAAGAUGUCAAGAGAAGAAAACGCGGCCGCCCCUCCCUUUUUUCCCAUGACAGUCACCAGUAUGGUCGGAGGGCUGUAGCAUUUGAGUGAAAGUUUUGCACUUUCUCGUUUCCUAGAAGCUGGCUGGCUCCUAAUCAAGAAUGCUGUUCAACAUGGCACUUUCUCUGAUCAGAGAAGAGAGGCUGAUUGCAUUUAUCUUAUUAAAAGUCCCAAGAAUCUCAUCAAAUGUGCAAUAUAGGGACCCUUAACUGUUUCCUCUAUGAUUGGAAUAUCUUGUAAGGAGGGCAAUCUCUUGGCGACUUGCCUGUGGUUGCCAUAUAAUAGAUGCUGCAGGCAGUUUCCAAAUGUUGUCCAGUAAAUGAAUUUUGAUAUAACUAGUUCUGAUUACUUUAUGUUUGAACUCAACUUCUUGUACGUGCUGUGCUUCAUGCAAAAGAAGUUUGAACUUGGAUCAAGAUUUGUUACAAGUUUUCUGGGCAUAUAAAAGAAAUGGCAUUUCAACAA